rnacentral:rRNA from 1 species
UACGGAGGAUGCAAGCGUUAUUCGGAAUUAUUGGGCGUAAAGGGCGCGUAGGCGGCUUUGCAAGUGGCGGGUGAAAUCCCUCGGCUUAACCGAGGAACUGCCUGCCAGACUGUGAGGCUUGAGACCGGGAGAGGUGAGUGGAAUUCCCAGUGUAGCGGUGAAAUGCGUAGAUAUUGGGAGGAACACCAGUGGCGAAGGCGGCUCACUGGACCGGAACUGACGCUGAGGCGCGAAAGCGUGGGGAGCAAACAGG